AUGUGCUUACUAAGUGUCUUAAUUCCUGAAGU
rnacentral:piRNA from 1 species